GGACUACUGGGGUAUCUAAUCCUGUUUGCUCCCCGCACUUUCGCGCCUCAGCGUCAGUCGCUGGCUGGAAGCUCGCCUUCGCCACCGGUGUUCUUCCUGAUAUCUACAGAUUUCACCCCUACACCAGGAAUUCCAGCUUCCCCUCCGCCACUCAAGCCACCCAGUUUCCAGCGCAGCCCCGGGGUUAAGCCCCGAUAUUUCACGCCGGACUUGAGCAGCCGCCUACGCGCCCUUUACGCCCAAUAAUUCCGAACAACGCUCGCCCCUUACGUGUUACCGCGGCUGCUGGCAC
rnacentral:rRNA from 1 species